rnacentral:rRNA from 1 species
GAUGAACGCUGGCGGCGUGCCUAAUACAUGCAAGUCGAGCGAACAGACGAGGAGCUUGCUCCUCUGACGUUAGCGGCGGACGGGUGAGUAACACGUGGAUAACCUACCUAUAAGACUGGGAUAACUUCGGGAAACCGGAGCUAAUACCGGAUAAUAUAUUGAACCGCAUGGUGCAAUAGUGAAAGACGGUUUUGCUGUCACUUAUAGAUGGAUCCCGGCCGCAUUAGCUAGUUGGUAAGGUAACGGGUUACCAAGGCAACGAUGCGUAGCCGACCUGAGAGGGUGAUCGGCCACACUGGAAGUGAGACACGGUCCAGACUCCUACGGGAGGCAGCAGUAGGGAAUCUUCCGCAAUGGGCGAAAGCCUGACGGAGCAACGCCGCGUGAGUGAUGAAGGUCUUCGGAUCGUAAAACUCUGUUAUUAGGGAAGAACAAAUGUGUAAGUAACUAUGCACGUCUUGACGGUACCUAAUCAGAAAGCAACGGCUAACUACGUG